rnacentral:rRNA from 1 species
UACAGAGGUCUCAAGCGUUGUUCGGAUUCAUUGGGCGUAAAGGGCGCGUAGGCGGCCACCGCAAGUCAGUUGUGAAAUCUCUGGGCUUAACCCAGAAAGGUCAACUGAUACUGCGGGGCUAGAGUGCAGAAGGGGCAACUGGAAUUCUCGGUGUAGCGGUGAAAUGCGUAGAUAUCGAGAGGAACACCUGCGGCGAAGGCGGGUUGCUGGGCUGACACUGACGCUGAGGCGCGAAAGCUAGGGGAGCGAACAGG